UUCACUUAUUUCACACAAACAAAAAUUUCUUUUAAAAACACAUGCAAAUAUCUAUUCUAGUGUCUGGCUUACUAGAUACCCCAAAAUAUUACUAUUGCUAUUAUCUGCUAGGAACUCUUCUUUUCCUAGGAAAUACUUCCAUGUGCUAAACUGGGAGAUUCCAUGUUCUUACAGGAUCCAAACUGGCCAAUUAAAAUUCUUUUUCCUCUUCACUGGUAUAUGAAUGGAUAUGUGAUCUAAAUCAAGCCAAUUAAAAAUCCUUUCUGGGUUUUCUGUUUGCUUGGAUUUUGGGGGUGUGUGUGUGUGUGUGUGUAUUUUACUGAAACUGAAUGAUCCAGUCCCCUUUUAGUUCGGGAAGCUAUGACACAUAGAGUUUAGGAGAUGUUGAUGAUCAAAGGCCAAGUCUCUAUAAGAAAAUAAGCUACUGCCAUGUGAGAGAGACUGAAGCAGAAGCAAGAGGUAAGGGAUGUUCUGGCCUAAUUUUAUCCUGUCCCUUCUUCUAACUUUUAAUAAAUGUAUUCUUUGGAUUCCACGAGCCAGUGAGGUAUUUCAAUUUGCAACCUUAACUCGAAAUUCACAAAAUUUUUUUUCUAGCUUUUCCUGUUUUUAAGUAUAGUCAUAAAGUUAUGAGAAUCAAAGACCCUAACAUAUGAACAGAAUCUGAUGAAACCCGAUAGAUACGAAGUGUUCUUCAGUAGUGAUUUCUGUUUUCUUUUCCCAGCUGACAGCAGAAGGGAAGGAGUUUUCACAGAUGGGCAGGACAACAGCAGCCAGAAAUAAGAGCUCCAGUCUGAUCAGUGAUCUCCUAUCUACUAGAUGAUGAGCGACAACCAAUUGCCUGCCAAAGGAGAGUUGCGCCACUAUACAGAAAUGUAAAGAGAAAAAAAGGUUGAAGAGGAGGAAGACAAAAGAAGGCCAUACUGGGGAGUCUGGUGAAGAGUCUGGUUACUGAAGGCUCAGACGGAGGCACUGGAGAGGCCACAUUUUCAGAAAAAAUAUAUUUCAGACCACUCUGUAAGAUGGAUUGAAACUGUGAGAAAGUACCAAGUAAUCCCUCCCCAACCUGAAUAAAAGUGAUAUGAAAGAACGGAGCAGAUCACAACAGACCCAACGACAAAUGAAAGCCCAUCCGUCUAUCCCAGCUAAUAACUGAAGAACAGGAAAGGAGACAAAGUUGAUGCAUAAUGGAUUUAAGGAAUAAGAAAGAAUACCCGCUACCAUUCCAACUGCCCAGCAUUUAUUCCUCAACAGAUACCUGUCUGUCACCCACCGUCCUCCCAGCAUUCUCCUAGACACUGAGGAUUCCACUGGAACGAAAACAGACAACACAAUCCAAUCCUCACAGAACUUACAUUCUAACAAGAAGUAGAAAAUCAAAUAAUUGUCUACAUUUGAGUCUAACGACUUUGGGCUGGAAAAUGACAGGAUCAAGAAAACAGUAGGGAUACAAAGUUGGGAGGUUUGUUGAGAGCAUGUGCAACUCCAUGAAAUAGCAGUUUCAAAGAUCAAGGUAAAACUUUUUCCCCCUUCAGGUAAGGAAAAAACUGUGUGGUGAGUGGAAUUAGAAAGAGGAAAAAGACCAAGUGAAAUAUCAUCACUCAUCAUGAAUGGUAUUAAAAUAGAACCACUGAGAAGAUUAUUGAGACAAUGACUUUCUUUCCAAAAGGGUAAACCCUGUCAACAGCAGGAGGUAAAAACCGCAGUCAACAGCACUGAGUGAGGGGUAAGAAGAUUUCAGGCAACUUAAAGAAAAAAAAAUCUUUAAAGAUAUUAGUGACUCUUUUCCACAUUUCCAUGAAGGUUCUACCCAUAAGGAAAACAUUCCUCUGUAUUCCACAGCAAUAUAUCUUAUUUUUUUUUAAUGCAGCAACACCAGCCAACUGGUGAGGUGGAGACACUGAACAGCUACCUUGGCACUCGGUUCUUAAUAUCCAUUCAGAGGGUUAACUGUCAGCAAAGCCAAAAAGGUGACAGCCAGAUAAAACAGUCGCAGUCCUCAGGGUGGAAAAUCAUGUUGCCAGGCCAGCCAAAAUAUAAUUUCUUGUAUGUCUUUUCUCUCCAGGAAGUACUUCUGAAAAACACCUUUCCAGCACAAUAGUCAUCGAAUCCAAUUAUAUAUUUUUAGACACCACUAAACAUUCUUUUUUUUAUUUCUUCCAUUUCAAGAAAACUCUCCACAUCUGGAAAGAACAGCAAUGAAGAACAGGAACUGGCGCGUUCAUGCUCAGCUCCUACCGGGCAUGUUUUGUUUAAUUUCCUCCGUUUUUAUGACAUUUUCCUAUGCUGCUACUCCAGACGUUCAAUAAAACACCUCGCCACCGAGAAACCAUAGGGGAAGGAAAAUCUAAAGAAAAUCUGACGGAAGAUCUGAGAGUGAGAUUACCUCAACCGUGAGCACAGGCAACAGGAGCCUGUGUUCCGGCUUCCAAGCACGGUUUCCCUGGGGUCUCUCCUUGGUCUGUGGGCAUCAAGGCUGCUGACCUGUGCACUCUGAUCCACCGCCAGACGAGUGGGUGCACUGUCCUCCUGGAACUUGUAUCAGAAAGACCACAAAAGGCUGUAUUGUCUAUUCAGUUUUCCAAACUUCAGCCAUCCAGUCCACGAUUAGUUUUUCCCCAGGGCAGUUGAGAAGUCAUUUCUUUCUAUCUUUUUGUUUAUUAACAAGCAAGAACCAGCUAUGAAUACAAUCUAGAGCAAGAGUAUGGUCUAGCGUGGACAGGGAAGAACCAGAUAUGAGAUAAACAGGUCAAAAAUGGAGCCAUGACCUCAACUUGAAGCAUGAUGGAGAAGCAGGGCAAACGUAGUGCCUAGGAAAGCCAUCAGUUUAUAAAAAAGAUGUCAGGUCUAUCUUCACUUGAUUCGCUGGCCCUAUCAUUAGAAUUUGCUGAGCUUCCCCCUGCCUCAGGACCUUUGAACUUGCUCUUUUUAUACCUGGAAUGAUCUUCUCUCAAGUUUGCACAUGGCUCUCUGCUCUUGUUACUUGGUUCUCUUAAUGAAAAUAAGAUCCUCAGAGGGUCCUUUCCUGACCACCCUAACACAGGGCUAUUCCCUUCCCGAUACUGCCAGUGUGAGCUCUGGUCCCCUUUGGCGUGGGAGCGAUGAAAGGAUGCCAUAAGGUAUGGAGAGAUUUGUAGAUUUUUCAGAUUUUUCUCUCCAGAACAAUGCAAUUUCCUAAACACUGCAGCUCUUCAUGUUCUAGCAAGACUUCAGUAUUGCUCAGAUGACAGAUUUGUAUUCCCUUCUUAAGUGAGAUGCUGAGUGUGAUGUGGUUAGGCUGAAAGGGAUUAAUGCAAAAUAGGAUAUGGGUUGGUUAUAGAGCUGAGAGAAACUUGAGUUGGAAUGUAGUUGGUGAUUGUUGUGCAAAUUUCUGUUAGAUGGCUGAAG